rnacentral:lncRNA from 15 species
GGGUCAUUUUGUUGUCUUAAGCAUUGAGCCUUUUUUAUUUAUAUUUAUUCUUUGUAAAAGUGUUGGUAGUAUAAUAAGCCACGUUUUCUCUGCUUUUGCUUCUUUACAUUCUGGAUCUGUCUCCCUUAUGGCUGCAUUUGCCCUUUUUUACUUUUUCAGACAGAGGCUUAAUGCUGAAGUACUCCAUCAAAGUUUCUUACAUUUGAGUGGGAGGACGGUGAGAGGACGAGAUGAAGAACUAGAGGGAAAGAAAUGGAUGGAACUGUGGAGGACAAAUAGGGGGGGAAAAACCUGAGAGGGCUUGAGCAGAAGAAGAGGAGGAGAUGAGGAGGAUUAGGUGAGGAGGAGGACAAGAGGCGCUCUCCCUCUCAGCCAGCCGGAUGGGGAGAAAAAGAGUGACGAGAGAGAAAGCAAGGGGAGGGCAUGGCAAAGAAGCUGGAGAGACUGUGAGUGUGU